rnacentral:rRNA from 1 species
UACGAAGGGGGCUAGCGUUGUUCGGAAUUACUGGGCGUAAAGCGCGUGUAGGCGGGUCUUUAAGUCAGGGGUGAAAUGCCAAGGCUCAACCUUGGAACUGCCUUUGAUACUGGAGACCUUGAGUCCGGGAGAGGUGAGUGGAAUUGCGAGUGUAGAGGUGAAAUUCGUAGAUAUUCGCAAGAACACCAGUGGCAAAGGCGGCUCACUGGCCCGGAACUGACGCUGAGACGCGAAAGCGUGGGGAGCAAACAGG